UUUCGCUAUAGCUUUCAUCUUUAUGACCUUUCCCACAUAAAUGGAUGAUAUUAUACUUUUUCAAUAACUCUUCAAGAUUGGUACGUAUAGCUUCGUUUAUUUUUCCGGAUCCUGAACUGCCUCCCAUGACGAGAAGUACCGGUUUGUCCUCACGAAAACCCGUGAGAAGCUUUGC
rnacentral:ncRNA from 1 species